rnacentral:ribozyme from 1 species
CCCACUCCAGGCCUGCACCUUGUCAUGGUGAGUGGGCUUCUAACCAAGACAGGC